rnacentral:rRNA from 1 species
GUAGGUGGCAAGCGUUGUCCGGAAUUAUUGGGCGUAAAGCGCGCGCAGGCGGUUUCUUAAGUCUGAUGUGAAAGCCCACGGCUCAACCGUGGAGGGUCAUUGGAAACUGGGAGACUUGAGUGCAGAAGAGGAGAGUGGAAUUCCACGUGUAGCGGUGAAAUGCGUAGAGAUGUGGAGGAACACCAGAGGCGAAGGCGACUCUCUGGUCUGUAACUGACGCUGAGGCGCGAAAGCGUGGGGAGCGAACAGGAUUAGAUACCCUGGUAGUCCACGCCGUAAACGAUGAGUGCUAAGUGUUAGAGGGUUUCCGCCCUUUAGUGCUGCAGCAAACGCAUUAAGCACUCCGCCUGGGGAGUACGGCCGCAAGGCUG